rnacentral:rRNA from 1 species
GCCGAUUCAGCCUGCUAGUUGUACGGGUUUAGACCCGUAGCAAAUAGCUCCGUAACACGUGGUCAAACUACCCUCUGGACCGGAAUACCCUCGGGAAACUGAGGCUAAUUCCGGAUACUGCUUUCAUGUUGGAACACAGAAAGUCGGAAACGGUCCGCCGCCGGAGGACGUGACUGCGGCCGAUUAGGUAGACGGUGGGGUAACGGCCCACCGUGCCGAUAUCGGUACGGGUUGUGAGAGCAAGAACCCGGAGACGGUAUCUGAGACAAGAUACCGGGCCCUACGGGGCGCAGCAGGCGCGAAACCUUUACACUGCACGCCAGUGCGAUAAGGGGACCCCGAGUGCGAGGGCAUACAGUCCUCGCUUUUCGUGACCGUAAGAAGGUCUCAGAAUAAGAGCUGGGCAAGACCGGUGCCAGCCGCCGCGGUAAUACCGGCAGCUCGAGUGAUAGCCACUAUUAUUGGGCCUAAAGCGUCCGUAGCCGGCCGAACAGGUCCGUCGGGAAAUCCACCCGCUCAACGGGUGGACGUCCGGCGGAAACCAGUCGGCUUGGGGCCGGGAGACCAGAGAGGUACGUCCGGGGUAGGAGUGAAAUCCCGUAAUCCUGGACGGACCGCCGGUAGCGAAAGCGUCUCUGGAGAACGGACCCGACGGUGAGGGACGAAAGCUUGGGUCUCGAACCGGAUUAGAUACCCGGGUAGUCCAAGCUGUAAACGAUGCUCGCUAGGUGUGGCGUUGGCUACGAGCCAGCGCUGUGCCGUAGGGAAGCCGAGAAGCGAGCCGCCUGGGAAGUACGUCCGCAAGGAUGAAACUAAAAGAAUUGGGCGGGGGAGCAACUACAACCGGAGGAGCCUGCGGUUA